UACGUAGGGUCCGAGCGUUGCCCGGAAUUAUUGGGCGUAAAGAGCUCGUAGGCGGUGUGUCACGUCGGCCGUGAAAACCUGCAGCUUAACUGUGGGCGUGCGGUCGAUACGGGCAUCACUGGAGUUCGGCAGGGGAGACUGGAAUUCCUGGUGUAGCGGUGAAAUGCGCAGAGCUCGGGAAGAACAUCGGUGGCGAAAGCGCUCUGCUGGACUGCAACUGACACUCAGGGACGAAAGCUAGGGGAGCGAAUGGG
rnacentral:rRNA from 1 species